UCCAUUGGAUUAGACAAAGGGGAAUGAAGUAAAGGGAGGAGAUGGGAAUGGGAAGGACAGUGGAAUGAACUGGACAUCACUCUCCUGUGUGCACAUAUGAACACACAAGCAGUGGAACUCCACAGCAUGUUCCACCCCGAGAAUGGGAUCCUAAGUAGAGGAAGUUAUACGUCAGGUAGCAUUAAUCACAACAGCUGAAAGGUGGAGAUGGCCAACUGUCCAUUGAAGAUAAACAGAAGGCGAUCCGUCCACGCGGAGGAAUAUUACUCAACCAAGAAAAGGGACAAAACUCUGACACUUGGGUCACAGGAAUGUUCUGGAAACAGCGAGGCGUUGGUCGCAGAACACCUUGGGCGUGCAGACUGCCCGAUGGUCCACCUCUCACCGGUGACCUCUGUGCGGAUCUGACGGGAGGUAACACACCAUCAUCUUGGUCCCCACUGUCCCCUGAACUGUCCCCAGUUCCUGGAACCCCAGACUCUGCUUAGAGGACCAUUGCAGCCUCCAAAGCCCCAGCCUGGGCCUCACAGCGGCCACAGAGCCCAGAGCAGAGAGCGAGCACCGAGGAGACCCUCCCCUGCCUGGUGGCCAGUCCGUCAAUGCCAGCUGGACGCGGCCAAGUCUGCCAAAUUCAGCCCUUUGCCAGCGGCCAGGGCCUCACCUGUCACUUCUGAGGAGACACAGGAAGACGGCUGGACACCACAGGGCCCCACGCCGGGCAGCUGAGGGGCAGGACACGAGACAGGGCCCCCAGCACCCGGCCACUCCUGCCUGCCCAGCCCUGCAGGAGUGUCCUGGGGGCCCCAUCGUGACUGACCAAACAGGAGGCAGGGGGUCUCCAAACACAGGCCUCCGUCUGCACCCAGCCCUGGAGGGUGGAG